rnacentral:rRNA from 1 species
GUGGGGAAUCUUCCGCAAUGGACGAAAGUCUGACGGAGCAACGCCGCGUGAGUGAAGAAGGUUUUCGGAUCGUAAAGCUCUUUCGUUAGGGACGAACGUGCUCUUUGUGAAUAAUGAGGAGUAAUGACGGUACCUAAAUAAGAAGCCACGGCUAACUACGUGCCAGCAGCCGCGGUAAUACGUAGGUGGCAAGCGUUGUCCGGAAUUAUUGGGCGUAAAGCGCGCGCAGGCGGGAUAUCAAGUCUGUCUUAAAAGUGCGAGGCUCAACCUCGUGAGGGGAAAGAAACUGGUAUUCUUGAGUGUCGGAGAGGAAAGUGGAAUUCCAAGUGUAGCGGUGAAAUGCGUAGAGAUUUGGAAGAACACCAGUGGCGAAGGCGACUUUCUGGACGAUGUCUGACGCUGAGGCGCGAAAGCUAGGGGAGCGAACGGGAUUAGAAACCCCGGUAGUCC